rnacentral:rRNA from 1 species
AUUGAACGCUGGCGGCAGGCUUAACACAUGCAAGUCGAGCGGGGAAGGGUAGCUUGCUACCUGACCUAGCGGCGGACGGGUGAGUAAUACUUAGGAAUCUGCCUAUUAGUGGGGGACAACAUUCCGAAAGGAAUGCUAAUACCGCAUACGCCCUACGGGGGAAAGCAGGGGAUCUUCGGACCUUGCGCUAAUAGAUGAGCCUAAGUCAGAUUAGCUAGUUGGUGGGGUAAAGGCCUACCAAGGCGACGAUCUGUAGCGGGUCUGAGAGGAUGAUCCGCCACACUGGGACUGAGACACGGCCCAGACUCCUACGGGAGGCAGCAGUGGGGAAUAUUGGACAAUGGGCGAAAGCCUGAUCCAGCCAUGCCGCGUGUGUGAAGAAGGCCUUUUGGUUGUAAAGCACUUUAAGCGAGGAGGAGGCUGCCGAGAUUAAUACUCUUGGAUAGUGGACGUUACUCGCAGAAUAAGCACCGGCUAACUCUGUGCCAGCAGCCGCGGUAAUACAGAGGGUGCGAGCGUUAAUCGGAUUUACUGGGCGUAAAGCGUGCGUAGGCGGCUUUUUAAGUCGGAUGUGAAAUCCCUGAGCUUAACUUNNGAAUUGCAUUCGAUACUGGGAAGCUAGAG